rnacentral:misc_RNA from 1 species
UGAGGUAGAAAAGAUAUGGUUGCAGAAGGAAAGAAAUAUGUGAGAGAGAAAUAAGGGAGGAUUGGAGAAAAAUAAAGGUAAGGGUGUUAGAAUAGUUUGAGAAUAAAAAAAAAGAGGGACUAAAGAGCUAAUAAAAUUAAAUUAUAGAUGCUAAUUAAUAUGCUUUUCAAAUUGUAAGGGGUUAACUAAUUAGUUUUUACUAAAAUAGAGGAACUAAAUACUAGUUUGACUAGCAUUAAAAUCAUUUCACUAGCGAAAAGUUUAUUAAAUGGACUAAAUAGUUUAACGGAAGUAAAAUAGAAGUAAAAUACGGAGACUAAAUAGUGUAUUUUUCAAA